GAUGAACGCUAGCGGCAGGCCUAAUACAUGCAAGUCGAACGGGAUCCAGAUCAAAGCUUGCUUUGGUCUGGUGAGAGUGGCGCACGGGUGCGUAACGCGUGAGCAACCUACCCUUGUCAGGGGGAUAGCCCGGCGAAAGUCGGAUUAAUACCGCAUGACAUCAUUGAGAGGCAUCUUUCGAUGAUCAAAGAUUUAUCGGACAAGGAUGGGCUCGCGUGACAUUAGCUAGUUGGUAAGGUAACGGCUUACCAAGGCUGCGAUGUCUAGGGGCUCUGAGAGGAGAAUCCCCCACACUGGUACUGAGACACGGACCAGACUCCUACGGGAGGCAGCAGUAAGGAAUAUUGGUCAAGGGACGGAAGUCUGAACCAGCCAUGCCGCGUGCAGGAAGACGGCCCUAUGGGUUGUAAACUGCUUUUAUACGGGAACAAACGUCGGUACGUGUACCGGUCUGAGUGUACCGUAAGAAUAAGGAUCGGCUAACUCCGUG
rnacentral:rRNA from 1 species